rnacentral:lncRNA from 1 species
UUUGAAAUUGUUGUGAAGUCUUUUUCUACCAUUCCAUUUUUGACUUGAAUCUAUGGUCAGAUAGCCGCCUAGCCUGGUUUCUGUAUAAAACCGCUCGAGUUUAGUUUGCUAAAGUGGCGUGAUAAGCACUCCGCCUUCGGGAGAAGGAGGUUGAAGCCGAAUGCUGACCCAUUUGAAGUCUAGCGAUUGGAUGUGUCGUGUUAGGGUGUGUUCAGUUCGAGGGAUGGCAUGGAAUGGCAUGGGUCCGACUCAUCCCGAACCCACGUUCUCGUGUUCAGUUGGACCUGGAACCGGCACAGAGUGGUUCCACUCG